CGGUUGAUCCUGCCGGAGGUUACUGCUAUCGGGGUUCGAUUAAGCCAUGCGAGUCAAAUGUUCUUCGUGAACAUGGCGAACUGCUCAGUAACACGUGGACAACUUACCCUUAGGACUGGAAUAACCCCGGGAAACUGGGGAUAAUACCAGAUAAAUCAUAGAUGCUGGAAUGCUCUAUGGUUCAAAGCUCCGGCGCCUAAGGAUGGGUCUGCGGUCUAUCAGGUAGUAGUGGGUGUAACGUACCUACUAGCCGACGACGGAUACGGGUUGUGAGAGCAAGAGCCCGGAGAUGGAUUCUGAGACACGAAUCCAGGCCCUACGGGGUGCAGCAGGCGCGAACACUUUACAAUGCGGGAAACCGCGAUAAGGGAACCCCGAGUGCCAGCAUCAAAUGUUGGCUGUCCAGAUGAUUAAAACUCAUUUGUUAGCAAGGGCCGGGCAAGACCGGUGCCAGCCGCCGCGGUAACACCGGCGGCCCGAGUGGUAACCGUUUUUAUUGGGUCUAAAGGGUCCGUAGCCGGUUUGGUAAGUCCUUUGGGAAAUCUGGUUGCUUAACAAUCAGACUGCCAAGGGAUACUGCUGAACUUGAGACCGGGAGAGGUAAGAGGUACUUCAGGGGUAGGAGUGAAAUCUUGUGAUCCCUGGGGGACCAUCUGUGGCGAAGGCGUCUUACCAGAACGGGUCUGACGGUGAGGGACGAAAGCUGGGGGCGCAAACCGGAUUAGAUACCCGGGUAGUCCCAGCCGUAAACGAUGCUCGCUAUGUGUC
rnacentral:rRNA from 1 species